rnacentral:rRNA from 2 species
UGACCUCGGAUCAGGUAGGGAUACCCGCUGAACUUAAGCAUAUCAAUAAGCGGAGGAAAAGAAACCAACAGGGAUUGCCUCAGUAACGGCGAGUGAAGCGGCAAGAGCUCAAAUUUGAAAGCUGGGCCUUUCAGGUCCCGCAUUGUAAUUUGCAGAGGAUGCUUCGGGAGUGGUCCCCAUCUAAGUGCUCUGGAACGGGCCGUCAUAGAGGGUGAGAAUCCCGUAUGGGAUGGGGUGUCCACGCCCGUGUGAAGCUCCUUCGACGAGUCGAGUUGUUUGGGAAUGCAGCUCUAAAUGGGUGGUAAAUUUCAUCUAAAGCUAAAUAUUGACCGGAGACCGAUAGCGCACAAGUAGAGUGAUCGAAAGAUGAAAAGCACUUUGAAAAGAGAGUUAAAAAGCACGUGAAAUUGUUGAAAGGGAAGCGCUUGCGACCAGACUCGCCUCUAGGGUUCAGCGUGCAUUCGUGCACGUGUACUUCCCUUGGGGCGGGCCAGCGUCGGUUUGAGCGGCCGGUAAAAGGCUCUCGGAAUGUAACGCCUCUCGGGGCGUCUUAUAGCCGGGGGUGCCAUGCGGCCAGCUCAGACCGAGGAACGCGCUUCGGCUCGGACGCUGGCAUAAUGGUCGUAAACGACC